rnacentral:rRNA from 1 species
GUGGGGAAUAUUGGACAAUGGGCGCAAGCCUGAUCCAGCCAUGCCGCGUGUGUGAAGAAGGCCUUCGGGUUGUAAAGCACUUUUGUUGGGAAAGAAAUCCUGUCGGCUAAUACCCGGCGGGGAUGACGGUACCCAAAGAAUAAGCACCGGCUAACUUCGUGCCAGCAGCCGCGGUAAUACGAAGGGUGCAAGCGUUACUCGGAAUUACUGGGCGUAAAGCGUGCGUAGGUGGUUCGUUAAGUCAGAUGUGAAAGCCCCGGGCUCAACCUGGGAAUUGCAUUUGAUACUGGCGGACUAGAGUGCGGUAGAGGAGAGUGGAAUUCCCGGUGUAGCAGUGAAAUGCGUAGAGAUCGGGAGGAACAUCAGUUGCGAAGGCGGCUCUCUGGACCAGCACUGACACUGAGGCACGAAAGCGUGGGGAGCAAACAGGAUUAGAAACCCCUGUAGUCC